CUGGGAGAGACCUAGCAGGCAGUGAGGACAGUGGAUGGCAAGGGGCCUCAGAGCUCUGUGACCUCAUAAUUUUCCUGUGGGACCACAAAGGUGGCUUCCACAGUGCAUAGUGGUUAUCAGCUGUGCCUCCCUCUUAGAGGUCCUCGGAGUCCAGAGUCCUCGAAGGGAAAUCUGACACAAAGAAGCAGGUGUGAGACCGGCCCCUUUCUCCCAUGCCUUAGACAGGGCUCCAGGGACUGCUUCAGGGGAGAUGUCAGAGGGCAGCAGGGACCGGGAAGGGAGGAAGAAAGCAGAGUGACAGUGAGAGGUGGGAAAACUACAAGAGGAAUUGUUUGUACGCUUGGAUCUGGACUUUUAGAACUGGUCAGGACCUGACAGAUCCUCCAGCCCAGUUCUCCCGGCUCUCAAACACUGGCAUCAUUUAUAAUUCCCUGGAAAAUCACCAGCAGGUAAAUGAAGGAGAAAAGAAAAGAACAAAAUCCACCGGGAACCAGAGACUUCCAGGCUCCAAAGACAGGCAAUCUCCACCAGGAAAAACUGCAGACACAGGAGAAGCCCUGAAAAGUUAGUCUUCUGGAAGAGAAAUUUACAUCUACAAAGGAAAUCUCCAUUUGUAAGUGUGUCUUCUUCUGCACUAGGAAGAGAAGGAUGACUAAAUCAGAGAAGUCUCUUGUCAGAGAAAGCACGGACUUCAGUCUUCAGACUGAAGAGAAUAUACCUUCGUUUUAUGAUGAUUUUUCUGGCCAUCUCAUCUUAACUGGGUCUUUCCCUACACUUUCUUUCUUUGUAGUUUAAAUUACACCUUUGAGAUCUAUUCUAGAGAUUACUCAUCUCUCUGAUUUAUCUCCCAUGGAUACAAGAGGAAUAUAUGCUAUUAAACUACUGUUUGUUUUUC
rnacentral:lncRNA from 1 species